AGUGAACGCUGGCGGUAGGCCUAACACAUGCAAGUCGAACGGCAGCACAGUAAGAGCUUGCUCUUACGGGUGGCGAGUGGCGGACGGGUGAGGAAUACAUCGGAAUCUACUUUUUCGUGGGGGAUAACGUAGGGAAACUUACGCUAAUACCGCAUACGACCUACGGGUGAAAGCAGGGGAUCUUCGGACCUUGCGCGAUUGAAUUAGCCGAUGUCGGAUUAGCUAGUUGGCGGGGUAAAGGCCCACCAAGGCGACGAUCCGUAGCUGGUAUGAGAGGAUGAUCAGCCACACUGGAACUGAGACACGGUCCAGACUCCUAAGGGAGGCAGCAGUGGGGAAUAUUGGACAAUGGGCGCAAGCCUGAUCCAGCCAUACCGCGUGGGUGAAGAAGGCCUUCGGGUUGUAAAGCCCUUUUGUUGGGAAAGAAAAGCAGCAGGUUAAUACCCCGCUGUUCUGACGGUACCCAAAGAAGAAGCACCGGCUAACUUCGUG
rnacentral:rRNA from 1 species